rnacentral:sRNA from 1 species
GAAAUUCGGAGCAGCGCACUCCUCCUCCCAGCGCCCUCCGAUGGACUGACAACACUCCUCCUCCCAGUUGUCAGUCGCCUUAAUGCGCCCACCGGAUCCUCCCCCGGUGGGCGUUUGGU